GGAAGCGUGGCAGAGCGGCCGAAUGCACUCGCCUUGAAAGCGAGCGUCCCGAGAGGGACCGCGGGUUCGAAUCCCGCCGCUUCCGC
rnacentral:tRNA from 1 species